rnacentral:lncRNA from 1 species
UAGGUGUCUUUUAAAAUGGCAGGUUAGGUUUAAGUAAGGACAAAGAAAUGUUUUAAUAAUUUCAGGAUUGUUUCUUAUUACAUCAUAUUUUUAUGCAUUUGUGUUAAAUUAAUAAAAUCCAUUAUCAUACAUCUUAAUGGUAUGGAAAAAUUACCAAAUCUACAUCUGGUGAUCCUAGUCAAACGUCCCCAUAGAAAAUGAAUAAAGAAGGGAGAAAGAGCAAUGGUACAGUCUAAAACGUUGAUGAACAUGACAGGUUACAAGGUACAGACACAAAAGGCCUUGGGUUUAUCUGGAAAACCUUGAUGUUCCAUUAUCAUAUGGCUCUGUAGUUAACAGUGGGCAAAGCAAGUUACCUCGACCAAGUCAUCAGGACUGGCUAUUUUUCCAACAUCACUUUGAGGCCAAGUCCUGUUGCAUUUGACAUUUGCUUUUUGAAUUCCUUUUUUUCUGAAGAACACACCAGGAAGCUCAAGUUCU